rnacentral:rRNA from 1 species
AGCGAACGCCGGCGGCAGGCUUAACACAUGCAAGCCGAACGGGCGCAGCAAUGCGUCAGUGGCAGACGGGUGAGUAACACGUGGGAACGUGCCUUUCGGUUCGGAGCAACUGAGGGAAACUUCAGCUAAUACCGGAUACGCCCGCAAGGGGAAAGAUUUAUCGCCGAAAGAUCGGCCCGCGUCUGAUUAGCUAGUUGGUGGGGUAAUGGCCCACCAAGGCGACGAUCAGUAGCUGGUCUGAGAGGAUGAUCAGCCACACUGGGACUGAGACACGGCCCAGACUCCUACGGGAGGCAGCAGUGGGGAAUAUUGGACAAUGGGGGAAACCCUGAUCCAGCCAUGCCGCGUGAGUGAUGAAGGCCCUAGGGUUGUAAAGCUCUUUCGGUGGGGAAGAUAAUGACGGUACCCACAGAAGAAGCCCCGGCUAACUUCGUGCCAGCAGACGCAGUAA